rnacentral:rRNA from 1 species
AUUGAACGCUGGCGGCAGGCCUAACACAUGCAAGUCGAACGAGUGGCGGACGGGUGAGUCAUGUCUGGGACACUGCCCGUUGGAGGGGGAUAACUACUGGAAACGGUAGCUAAUACCGCAUACCUUCGCAUGUGCCCAGACGGGCUUAGCUAGUAGGUGGGGUAACGGCUCAUCUAGGCGACGACCACUGGCCGGUCUGAGAGGAGGACCGGCAACACUGGAACUAAGACACGGUCCGAAGCCCUAGGGGAGGAGGCGGGGGGGAAUAUUGCAAAAUGGGCGCAGGCCGAAUGCAGCCAUGCAGCGUGUAGGAAGAAGGCCUUCGGGUUGUAAGGUACUUUCAGCGAGGAGGCGUUACUCGCAGAGGAAGCACCGGCUAACUCCGUGCCAGCAGCCGCGGUAAUAC